rnacentral:rRNA from 1 species
CCUACGGGAGGCAGCAGUGGGGAAUAUUGCACAAUGGGGGAAACCCUGAUGCAGCGACGCCGCGUGAGUGAAGAAGUACUUCGGUACGUAAAGCUCUAUCAGCAGGGAAGAAAAUGACGGUACCUGAUUAAGAAGCCCCGGCUAACUACGUGCCAGCAGCCGCGGUAAUACGUAGGGGGCAAGCGUUAUCCGGAUUUACUGGGUGUAAAGGGAGCGUAGACGGCAGUACAAGUCUGGAGUGAAAGGCCGGGGCUUAACCCCGGAACUGCUCUUGAAACUGUGCAGCUGGAGUGCAGGAGAGGUAAGUGGAAUUCCUGGUGUAGCGGUGAAAUGCGUAGAUAUUAGGAGGAACACCAGUGGCGAAGGCGGCUUGCUGGACUGUAACUGACGUUGAGGCUCGAAAGCGUGGGGAGCAAACAGGAUUAGAUACCCGAGUAGUC